rnacentral:rRNA from 1 species
CCCUUAGAUGUUCUGGGCUGCACGCGUGCUACACUGAUAUUGCCAAUAUGUCAUUCUUAUCCGAAAUGGAUUGGGUAAUCAAGUAAUGAAAUUUCAUGCCUGGAAUCGGUAAUUGCAAUUUUAUCGUGAACGAGGAAUUCCUAGUAAGCACUAGUCAUCAGCUAAUGUUGAUUAUGUCCCUGCCCUUUGUACACACCGCCCGUCGCUACUACUGAUUGGGUGUUCAAGUGAGAUGCUUAGACCCUUGUUGCAUGGUUCAUUAUUGUGCUCCGAAAGGAAAAAGUUUCAAGCUUGAGUGUCUAGAGGAAGUAAAAGUCGUAACA